AUUGAACGCUGGCGGCAGGCCUAACACAUGCAAGUCGAGCGAGCGGCGGACGGGUGAGUAAUGUCUGGGAAACUGCCUGAUGGAGGGGGAUAACUACUGGAAACGGUAGCUAAUACCGCAUACCAUCAGAUGUGCCCAGAUGGGAAUAGCUAGUAGGUGGGGUAACGGCUCACCUAGGCGACGAUCCCUAGCUGGUCUGAGAGGAUGACCAGCGAAACUGGAACUGAGAAACGGUCACGACUCCUACGGGAGGGGGCAGUGGGGAAGAUUGCACAAUGGGCGCUGGCCUGAUGCAGCCAUGCCGCGUGUGUGAAGAAGGCCUUCGGGUUGUAUAGCACUUUCAGCGGGUCGGCGUUACCCUUUUAUGAAGCACCGGCUAACUCCGUGCCAGCAGCCGCGGUAAUUC
rnacentral:rRNA from 1 species